UACAACUUUCAGCAACGGAUCUCUUGGCUCUCGCAUCGAUGAAGAACGCAGCGAAAUGCGAUAAGUAAUGUGAAUUGCAGAAUUCAGUGAAUCAUCGAAUCUUUGAACGCACCUUGCGCUCCUUGGUAUUCCGAGGAGCAUGCCUGUUUGAGUGUCAUUAAAUUAUCAA
rnacentral:rRNA from 5 species